rnacentral:rRNA from 1 species
GAUGAACGCUAGCGGCAGGCCUAAUACAUGCAAGUCGAACGGUAACAUUCUCGCUUGCGAGAGAUGACGAGUGGCGCACGGGUGCGUAACGCGUAUGCAACCUACCCUUUACUGAGGGAUAGCCCGGAGAAAUUCGGAUUAAUACCUCAUGGUAUCAUCAGAUGGCAUCUGAAGAUGAUUAAAGAUUUAUCGGUAAAGGAUGGGCAUGCGUGACAUUAGCUAGUUGGUGAGGUAACGGCUCACCAAGGCAACGAUGUCUAGGGGUUCUGAGAGGAUGAUCCCCCACACUGGUACUGAAGACACGGACCAG